rnacentral:misc_RNA from 1 species
GAUGAAGAACGCAGCGAAAUGCGAUAAGUAAUGUGAAUUGCAGAAUUCAGUGAAUCAUCGAAUCUUUGAACGCACAUUGCGCCCCCUGGUAUUCCGGGGGGCAUGCCUGUUCGAGCGUCAUUUCAACCCUCAUGCCCCUAGGGCGUGGUGUUGGGGAUCGGCCAAAGCCCGCGAGGGACGGCCGGCCCCUAAAUCUAGUGGCGGACCCGUCGUGGCCUCCUCUGCGAAGUAGUGAUAUUCCGCAUCGGAGAGCGACGAGCCCCUGCCGUUAAACCCCCAACUUUCCAAGGUUGACCUCAGAUCAGGUAGGAAUACCCGCUGAACUUAAGCAUAUCAAUAAGCGGAGGA